AUUUUUAUGGAUUCCUGAGUAGCUGCUCUGUCAUGGUCUGGGAGUUGUCGGGGUCCAAGCUGGGUGUUUUGUUCAAGCACAAGUUAACUGUAUGUCUGUUCUCGUGCAUCUGAAAGCUGUGGUGAAGACAAGCUCACUGGUGGUAUGGCUGCUGCUGCACCAGCUCAGCCGACACCAAUUGUUCAAGCUGAGUGACACCAGUACUUACUACCUGAGAUGCAGAUGCCCCUUUUCUUUUUUUCUUUUUUCUUUUUUUUUGAAGAUCAUCAAACAUAUAGGGACCUUCUUCACCUGAAAGGAGCAGAGUUGGGAAUAAGGAUUCAGCUACCAGCUACCUAGCAUCCAGAGAAGCCUGUGGAAGCAACCGCCUGAAACAGUCCUCUCAGCACUUUCCACCUGUGUGCCUUAUCUCUGAAUCACCACUACUUUCUCCUGGCCCCGAGACAAUCUGCUUGUUGUUAAGCAUUUUCCCAUCUGUUUUUGCCUCCAUGUUGGAUUUCUCCUGGAUCCCGCAAGCAGUGACUUGUUUUGAAGGAAAAUGACCCAAAUGAAUCAGAAUACAAUUUGAAGAGCUUUCCACAUGCAGUUGCUAAAUCCUGGAAGGCUCCCUUCAGCAUUAGUGGUUUUGUAGUUGCUUCAGUGGCCUGGGCUAGCAAUGCCCUGGAAAGCAGAACUGGCCUCUGACCUCUUUGGUCUCGUGGGUUCAGUGUCUGGCUCAGAUUGUUUUCACUCCUUUUUCCUCAGACCUGUCUUUUUUUCCUCAGCUCUUCUUCUCUUACUCAGGUGGCAUUGCUCUUGUGCAAAUAUAUAUAACUUUUAAAUCA